rnacentral:rRNA from 1 species
UACAGAGGGUGCGAGCGUUGUCCGGAAUCACUGGGCUUAAAGCGUGUGUAGGUGGAUGCCUAAGUACCUUGUGAAAUCCCACGGCUUAACCGUGGAACUGCUUGGUAUACUGGGUGUCUUGAGUCACUCAGGGGCGAGCGGAACAAAUGGUGGAGCGGUGAAAUGCGUAGAUAUCAUUUGGAACGCCAAUGGUGAAAACAGCUCGCUGGGGGUGCACUGACACUGAGACACGAAAGCCAGGGGAGCGAACGGG